rnacentral:rRNA from 1 species
CCUACGGGAGGCAGCAGUAGGGAAUCUUCCGCAAUGGACGAAAGUCUGACGGAGCAACGCCGCGUGAGCGAUGAAGGCCUUCGGGUCGUAAAGCUCUGUUGUUAGGGAAGAACAAGUAUCGGAGUAACUGCCGGUACCUUGACGGUACCUAACCAGAAAGCCACGGCUAACUACGUGCCAGCAGCCGCGGUAAUACGUAGGUGGCAAGCGUUGUCCGGAAUUAUUGGGCGUAAAGCGCGCGCAGGCGGUCCUUUAAGUCUGAUGUGAAAGCCCACGGCUCAACCGUGGAGGGUCAUUGGAAACUGGGGGACUUGAGUACAGAAGAGGAAAGUGGAAUUCCACGUGUAGCGGUGAAAUGCGUAGAGAUGUGGAGGAACACCAGUGGCGAAGGCGACUUUCUGGUCUGUAACUGACGCUGAGGCGCGAAAGCGUGGGGAGCAAACAGGAUUAGAUACCCUGGUAGUCCACGCCGUAAACGAUGAGUGCUAAGUGUUAGAGGGUUUCCGCCCUUUAGUGCUGCAGCUAACGCAUUAAGCACUCCGCCUGGGGAGUACGGCCGCAAGGCUGAAACUUAAAGGAAUUUGACGG